UGUGCGCUGAGGUUUCUGGGAGAUGUGUCUUCAGUGCUCUGGAGACAGCUCCCGCCAGUGACCAGAGGGUGAGACAGAAUUCUGACUCCUGACAGACGGCUCCAGAAGCAUAUUCGUCCCAAACCAGGAAUCGACUCCAGUCCUCUUGAUGACAGCUACAGUAGAUGAGAAGUGUGGGUCCAUUGAAGGCAUCGGCUGCUCGACCGCAGUCAGGUGAGGGCUCACCUGUCCGCCUGCAGCAGCAAACAAAGUCGGUCCUGGAUUCCUCCUGCUGAUCAGCUCAGCCUCCUUACAAUCUUCUGGUGGGACCUGAAGGUGCUCUCACAAGCACAAAAGCUGGGACAUCCAGUUCCUGCAGGGGGUCAAGGGUCUUCUCCAGCGCUUCCUCAAUGCGGGACAGGCCCAAAACACCAACCCCAGGAAGCACCAAGGAGACUCAGAGUGAAAUGUCUGAAUCAUCUCAGGAUGAGGACCAAAGAAACACAGGGUCGUCCCCCUCAAGGCGCCGCCAUUUUGGCAGGAAUUGAGCCGAGGAACUGAAUAGGCUGACUGCCGCAGUGAAGGAGGCUAACCAUGGCAGACAACUGUUGCUCCCAAGAUUGUACAAAUAG